rnacentral:rRNA from 1 species
UACGUAGGAGGCAAGCGUUGUCCGGAAUUACUGGGCGUAAAGCGCGUGUAGGUGGUGGGACAAGUCUGCUGUGAAAGCGCCUGGCUUAACCGGGCGAGGUCGGCGGAAACUGUCCGACUCGAGGACGGUAGAGGGGGGUGGAAUUCCCGGUGUAGUGGUGAAAUGCGUAGAGAUCGGGAGGAACACCGAUUGCGAAGGCAGCUCGCUGGAACGUUACUGACGCUGAGACGCGAAAGCGUGGGGAGCAAACAGG